rnacentral:rRNA from 1 species
GACGAACGCUGGCGGCGUGCUUAACACAUGCAAGUCGAACGGAAAGGCCCUGCUUUUGUGGGGUGCUCGAGUGGCGAACGGGUGAGUAACACGUGAGUAACCUGCCCUUGACUUUGGGAUAACUUCAGGAAACUGGGGCUAAUACCGGAUAGGAGCUCCUGCUGCAUGGUGGGGGUUGGAAAGGUUCGGCGGUUGGGGAUGGACUCGCGGCUUAUCAGCAUGUUGGUGGGGUAGUGGCUUACCAAGGCUUUGACGGGUAGCCGGCCUGAGAGGGUGACCGGCCACAUUGGGACUGAGAUACGGCCCAGACUCCUACGGGAGGCAGCAGUGGGGAAUAUUGCACAAUGGGCGGAAGCCUGAUGCAGCAACGCCGCGUGCGGGAUGACGGCCUUCGGGUUGUAAACCGCUUUCGCCUGUGACGAAGCGUGAGUGACGGUAAUGGGUAAAGAAGCACCGGCUAACUACGUG